rnacentral:tRNA from 1 species
GUUUUAGUAAUUUAUAUAAAAUAUUGGUCUUGUAAAUCAAAAAAAAAGAAUCUUUCUAAAACU